UCGAUUUGUUGCGGGCAAAUAAAGUGAAUGUGGGCAUCAAUUCCACCGGCGGUAAGGAUUUGUCCUUCGCCAGCAAUAAUUUCGGUGCCGGGGCCAAUUUUAAUGGUGAUGCCAUUCUGCACAUCCGGGUUGCCGGCUUUUCCAAUCGCUUCAAUGCGGCCGUGCUUUAUGGCGACAUCGGCUUUAACAAUCCCCCAAUGGUCGAGAAUCAGGGCAUUGGUGAUUACCAGAUCCGGGGUUUCGGCACAACUAAACUGGCCCUGGCCCAUGCCAUCAC
rnacentral:sRNA from 1 species